GGGUUUGUUCCCAAGCCAUACCCUUUGGGUCUGGGUUUUUUCCCAUCCCCACUCAUGACCUACCCUUCCUGCAUUCUUAGCUGAAAUAUUGCUAGUUAAACUUGUUAUCAAGCUUAACUACGAUAUGCUUUUCAAUGGAUAAGAUAACUAAAACCAAUUACAAUCAGCUUAACCCAAGUUUAAGUUUGGUAAAGUUAAAAUAAAUUAAUUUAGGGCCAUCUGCUAAAGAAAAUAAUUUUUUUUUUGGAUCUUAGCUUUAGAGACUGAACCUAAGUGUAGUUUGUUUAAUUAGUUAAAAUCAAAGUAAUUGAGGCCUAAUAAAAAAAGGUUUUUUUGUUGAAUAGUAUUAAGGCUAUACUUUGGUGGGCCCUAUUUUAUCCUGAAAUUUGGAGCCGCUUCCCCAGCCUACACUCGAUGCUGGACUUGUAUGUUGGCAACUUGGCGUGUAGUACAUGUUUGUAGGGAAUUUAUAAUGAAAUCUAGCUAAAUUUUCCCUUCCGUGUCAUCAAAUUUUUCUUGUGAAUCUUUUUGGCAACCCCUAGGGAUGUUUGGUAACGUUUUUAUUUUUCUGUUUUUUUUGUGUUUUUUUAAUUUUUGUUUUGUUUUGUUAUUUUUUGUCCAAAUAGAAACUAAAUACGUUUGCGUCACCUAUUUUAAAACCUAUUUAAAAAAUAAAAUACUAUUUGUUUUCACCUUUGAAAACAUUUUCUCAAAAGAGAUGGCGCGUAGUGAGCGUGGUAGAAGAGUGGCGAUGGUAGUUGGAGGUGCGGCGCGGUGGUGGUUGUAGGUGGAAGUGGGCGGCGUGAUGGUGGUUGGAGGUGGUGGUUGGUGGCGGUGGCGGUGGUGAGGAUGUGGGCGGUGCGGGGUGGUUGGGUGGGUGGUGGUGGCGGUGGGAGGUGGCGGCGGCGGUGGUGGAGUGAGGUGUUGGAGGUGGAGGUGGUGGCGGCGGCGGUGGUGGUGGUUGGGCGGUGGUGGCGGACGGUAGUGUUUGGCGGUGGGUUGGUGGCGGUGGUGGCGGUGGCGGCGGUAGUGGUUGGAGGUGUGGUUGAGGUGAGGUGGAGGUGGUGGGCGGUGUUGGAGGUGGGGUGGUGGUUGGAGGUGGCGUCGGCGGGGGGGGGGGUGGGGGGUGGUGGUUGUCGGCGUGAUGGGGUUGGAUGUGGCGGCUGGCGCGGCGUGGUGGAGGUGGCGGUGGUGCGGUUGAGUGUGGUGGCGGCGCGGUGGUUGUAGGUGUCCGUGGUGGCGUGAGGUGGUGGUUGGUGGUGGAGGUGGUGGUUGGGGAGGUGGUGGUGCGGGCCCCCAGCGAUUGUGGUUGGUGGUGCGACGUGAAUGGUGGUGUUGGAGGGGGUGGUGGCAGUGGAGGAAGUGGUUGAAAAAAUGUGAUAAAAAUUUUGAAUGAAAAAUUUUUGUAAACAAAACAUAACACUUUUCUUGUUUUCACUAUUUUCAAAAAUAGUGACAAUUAUUUACCUUUAUUUUUAUGUAUUUGUUUGCAACACAAACAAGUUUUUGUUUUUAUUUAAACAGAAAAAUAAAAAUUAAACAGAAAAAUAAAAAUUAAUGGGUUAACAAACAUCCACUAAGUGUCGCCAUUAUCACUUUGGAAGCUACUGAUGUUGGUUGAUUUUAAUUUUUACAGCACAAACAGUUCUACUGGCUUUCCAACACUAUUGUGAUGCUUCGUACCACAGUUAUGAUUGCAACUAUGCUCUGUUAGAUAUUUUUAAAAUGUCUUGGUGUUAUUUUUUAGGUUUUUGUAAAACUUUGUUAUUCUUUUAGAAUGCUCACUUUUUGGAUGUGAGUUUUGUCCUACAUUAGUUAGAUAUGAAAAAAUUAUCUUCUUUAUAAAUGGAAAGAUUGUUAAAGUAUUAAAUAUGUUUGGAUCACAAGGGGCUAUAAUAUGGUGCUUCGCACCAUAAACCGGCGAAGCCGAUGCUUAGCACCAUGAAUCCGCACCCGCGCCAUGUGCGCAUGUGCGUGGCAGUGGAUUGUGUGGCUGCAAUGUGGUGCUUUGAUGGCGCACGCGAAAGGUUGUGAUUGAAGGGGUGCGUGGUAGCCUAUAAAUAGUCCAACUCUUAUAACAUUUUUAAUCAUCAGAAAAUCCGAAAUUCUUAAAGAAGAAAUAAUAGUUUAUUUCAUAUCGUUUUUGAGUAUUCAUUCUAAAAUUUUGUUAUUCUAUAGAAAUAAAAUCUUAGAGGUUUCUAGUUCACUUGUUUAUAAAAAGCAGAUAUUCUGACUGUUCUGUUUAUGAAAACAAGAACAAUAAGAAUGUAGAGUUCGUGCUUCAUUGUAUCUUGAAAACAGAUUUGCUGUAACCCGUGCACACUAUCUGGUGAGGGCAAAUACUGUCUUUGGAAAAGCGACAAAGUAACUCGCCUUGAAUUGUAUCGAAGUUGAAGACACCGUCAUCCGCCAACGUAUUUUUUCCAAACCAAUCUAAAGACAGUAUUCGUGAAAUGGUGAUGUCUCUACAAAAGAUGACAAAAGAUUUCAUAAAACUUGAUUGUUUGAUGGUGGCAAUUUGAGACGUUGGAGAAGAAGAGUUGCGAUUUUCUUGUUACCACCACUCAAAAUAGUUAUGUUUGAUCACACAAGUUGUUAGUAGAAGAAAUCAAGAUGAUGAAACGCCUUAGAGCAGACUAGAGACAGAAUCAAAUGGGAGAAUGAUGACUACAUUUGCUAAUGACAUAUCCGAAUUCUAUCCGACGCAUAUUGAUACUACUAAAAUUCAGAGACGGCAAAGGACCUUGGGAUGCACUUCAUGCAAGAUCUAACUGAUGCACUAAAAGUAAAAAAAAAUUUGUUAAUUAAUUUAUAAAUUAUCGCAUAAUUAAAAAAUUCUGUUCUUGCCCACUGAAAAUGGCCAUGUACACGGCCAACCGUCAUAGCAUAACCGUUCUUGUUUCUGACACCAGUUUCUAAUAGGAAAACACUUGCUUCACAUAGGGUAUGUUAGAUCAAAUAUAUGAUAUUAAUUAAAUGUGGGUUGUAGAUUUGGAUUUCAAAUAUUAAAAGACAUGGCUCAGUGGACAUGUGCGCCAAGUCACUGAGGCGAUUCUAUUUCGAGUCGAUUUAAAAUAUUAUUAAAUAGAUAUUCAGACAUCAGUUGAAUAUAUUACCUGUUCAUUGACUGUAAUUUUGAAAUUUUUGCAUUUCUAUUAUUAUUACUAAUAUUUUAUGGGCAUAAUUGAAUUAUGUAUGAAUUCCAUGAAUAUGGAUAAAGUUCAGUUUGUAAUUUGUAAUGCCAAAAUAUCGAUAACAAACAUAGUUUGAUAUGAGUAUAAUUGUAUUGCUUAGUCCAUGUGAAUAUAACUUCAGAUUUGUCAUUUGAAAACAAAAGGAAGAAAUAAAGUAUGUAAACCUGAGAUCUUGCAUACAACUUGAGUUUAGUUGAGAAUUGUGCAUGUUUGUGUUUGGAUACUAUUUUAAAUAUGAAAUUUAUGGACACUGGAUUGCGAUAGUUCUGACAAUUUUAGUAUGUUUGAAAUAGUAGUUAAAUUUAUUUGUGCAAUGCAUAGAUCAGUUUAAAUUCUUAUAUGUUAUUUCUUGAAUAAUAUUUUCAUAUGGAUGAAAACAUAUAUCUCAAAAACUGAGAUGGCAUGAUUAUACUGCUACAUCAGAUAAUUACUAUCAUAUGGCCAACUUUAAAUUAGUAUUUGAAAAAGUAGUUAUUGAGGGUUACAAAUUUAAACCAAAAAGUGUGACCAUUGGGUGGUUCAAACUAAGAAGUUUCAAUCUUGGCUUUAUAAGAAAACGUACAACUUUUGGCGCCAAUUGUCGCAAACCAAUUUUUUAUUUUUUAUUUUAAAUAAAAUGGUUGCAACGGUUAGAAGACACUGAGCCGUUUGUCAAGCAAUGGUUGAAAUGCAUCUCAAUGACUUUGGUUUCUAUGAUUGGAUGUGAGCCCAAGUUCAUGUGUAAAAUUAUGUUUUGUACUUCUUAGAUUGGUUAUACAACUAAUGAAAUAAAAAUUAAUGCAACCAAGGUUUUGGAUUUCAUGGAAAAAGCCAAAAUACUAAUAGUUAUUAUUAUUAUUAGUACUAGUGUAUUAAUUAAUACCAUCAUGAUCUCGAGAUGCAGUAUUUAUUAAAAAUCGUUUGACAGAAUUCAAGGUUUUAAAUCACGUAAAAAAUUGACAUGAAGUCAUAACGAUUUGGAUUCCUUUACCCUUGAGGUCCAUGGAGAUGACAAUGAGCCUUUACAAGUCCAAAUAAGAAUAAUGAACCUGUGGAGCAGUUGUGUUGAACUAAGAAAGAGCAAACGAACUCGAAAAGAGGAAGACGUUUGAGCCUGAUUUUAUAAUUAUCUGGUGAAGGUACUAGACAAACUACAUGUUCAUAGUGUGUUUCACUAUAUGUGGAAACAGAUCUAUUAACUUUUGAAGGCAGCCGAUGAAGUAGCUCCAAGAUUUGCGUUAUAGAAGGCAGGCUUAUUAAAAGAUAAAAUGGAUCCAUUUUUAAAAAAUAAUACGGAUUAUGGAUUGAUUUACCUCCUAAUUCUAAACAAUGGUUGAGUAAAUGGAUUUUUCAAAAGAAAAUAAAAGUUGAUGGAACUAUUGAUAAGUUCAAGGCCAGAUUAAUUAUUUAAAAGGAUUUACCCAGAAAGAGAGUAUCGAUUAUUUCGAUUACGUAUGCUAUGGUUGCCAGAUCUCAACAAUUAGAGUUUAAUGCUCUUGCUUUAAUAUUAUAAAUUUUUAGAUUCACCAAAUAGACGUCAAGACUGUGUUCCUAAUGGUGAGUUAGACCUUAUAUUGAAAAAAGAUCUUAAAUGAAGAAAUUUAUCAAUUAAUAGUAAAUCGGUUCUAGAUCUAUAUGAUCGCAGCUCCAUGGUACAAUACUGGAAGAGUGUAUCACAAUAGAGUAUUCUAGAGUGUGAUAGGAAGUUUUGAUGUAUGCUAUGACAUGCAAAAGCCGAUAUAGCUUUUGCAGUGGGUAAAACUAGUAGAGUAUACUAGUAUCCAGGACAUAUGCGUGGCAAGUAAUAAAUAGAGUAUUAAGAAUACUUGAAAGGUACUAUAGAUUUUGGAAUAGUUUAUAGUGGGUGUCUCCAGUAUUAGAAGGAUACACGAAGGCCAGUAGUUACUAAAGCGAGAGGAUCACUUUUCAACAAGUGGUUGGUGUUUUAUACUUGUCGGGAAGAGUCUCUUGGGGAUAACAGGAAGCAGACUCCCAUUACAGAUUCGACUAUGGCAGCCGAAGCGAAUUUGUGGCCUUAGCAUCUGGAAGUAAAGAGGCAGAAUGCUGAGAAAUUAUUGUUGGAAAUUUUAAUAUGGCCUAAACUUAUGUCACCAUAUCUUUGCACUGUGGAUAGGAGUCGACCUUAUCACGUGCUUAUAGCCAAGUGUAUAAUGGUAAGUCCAAACUUAGUAUUUCGACAUAGCUAGGAGAAAUUGAAAAUUGAUGGGGGUGAUAAAACUAGUAAAUUAUUAUAAGUCAAGUCAAAACUUUGGGAUCCUUUUACAAAAAGGGUCUUGUAAGAGGCGGAUCCGUGUACAAAAGAUCUUGCAAGGGGACUCGGUGUGAAAAACAUCAAAGAGGAUGGGACUUUUGCCCACUUAAUUUGAUUACUCUUGGUUGAAAAACCAAACUCAACAGGUUGAUUAAUAUCAAUCUCUUGAGUCAAGGAGAAAAACCACAAACGUCGUAAUUGAAAGCACUUAUUAUUUUCUUUCAGGUAAAGUGAUUGAACUUAUAAUCGUAAAACAAAUGAGGAUGAACUAUUUAGUUCUUAAUUAGACCUUUUCUGAUGCUAUUGUUACAAGGGCAGUGAUAAGGAUUUAACUAUAUGAGUGUGAAGGUGGUGCCGCUUUGGUAGGUCAUGGGGGCUAGACUUUAAAGCCUCGUGAAAUCAAGAUAACUGACAAAAGGACAGUGCACGGGUCAACGAAUUUGAAUAUUUACAAUAUUAAAGAAUUGUAUGUGAAACAUCGCCGAUUAAUUACUAGAGGGACCGCUAAUUUCAAAGAUUACGUCUACUAUGCGACCCUGAUUAGUUUUGAAAAUGUUUUACUACGUGGAAUGGUUGAAGUCGGGAGACCACGCUUUCAUGUAUGCAUAAUUUUUUGUAAGAGAAUUUGGGAACACUUAUUGUGUAUUAAAAAAUGGUGUGAGGGAGUGUUAGAAAUUUUUUAAUGUCUUGGUGUUAUUUUUGAUUUUUGUAAGACUUCUUGUCUUUAGAAUACUCACUUUUGUAUGGGAGUUUGUCCCAGCAUUGGUUAGAUAUAGAAAAAGUAUCUUAGUUAUAAUGGAAAAUUAUUAAAGUAUUAAAAUAUUGAAUCACAAGGGGCCUAUACUACAGUAUCGAUCCAUUCUUUGACCCAUUGAGAAAUCUUUCUUUUUUGUUCUUCAAGUGCUAAGAGACAUUCGUGAUUGGGUUUGUUGUCAUGGACAUUCUUUACUCUAUUUAGGUCACCUUGAUAUUUAACUGUGACACACCAAAUUUCCAAAAACCUUAGAUGCCAACUCCCAAAUACUGGGAGUCGAUACCCAAAUGCUUUCUUUUUGUCCAACUCUAGAGUUAGGGCAAUCUCACAUUAUCUUUUUGAAUCUUUAUACUCUUUUUAUUAAGACAUUUUUUUUGAACUUUUGUUUUGUUCCUCUAUCUUGUACUUUAAGCCUAUAUUACAGGACUCUUUUAAAUAGUAUAAGCUAAGAAGCACUAAUACAAACACAGAUACCCAAACCAGGGUGUUUUGAGCAAAUUUCGGGCUGGUUACAAUACUAAAAUUGAGUUACUUUAAGUCUUUUUAAUAAUUAUUAAAAGAAACAAAAGAGUCAUUCUUCUGCGUUAAUUAUUAGUUUAAAAAAGGGUCAUUUUUUUAUAAAAAACAAGAAAAUAAAGUUACUGGGCGUCAAUCACUAACUAUUAAGUUCAUAACCCAGUUUGGGUUGGGUUGGGUUGGUUUAUAUAUGUAACGAAUCGAUAUUUAAUGCGAGAAUCUAGAUGUCAGUUGAGCUCGGAUUAUCUCUAAUUAGGAUGGAAUUAACAUAUAUUAAAAUUUUAUAUAUUAGAGAAAAAAUUAUAGAGUUACUGUGGGUCUUUUAAUUAGAUACCGAUUGAGCUUGAGUUGUCUUUAAUUUAUAAUGUUAUUAGAUAACAAGAAAACACUUGAGCUAUUUUAUUUUUUUUAUAACUAGCAUUCCCACGUUUAUAACCUUAUAGAAUGACUUGGGAAAAAACAAAGAAACUCCCACGUUUAUUUACGUAAACAAGUCCAUGACAUCUCAAAUCUCCUUAGAAACGUACCGCGUCAAUUUUUUAUGUUGUCCAUAGUUACGAUAAGAUUAACACAUAUUGAAAUUUUAUCUCACAUUGAUUCUUAUAAUAAAAAACUUGAGUUCCACGAAUUUCAAACGAGUUGUCGCUAGCUCACGACUAAAGUGACUUUUUGGUAGUUACAAAAAAUCCUUACAAACUGAUUUUAAUGUAAUUUUUAGGUAAUUAUAAAGAAAAACAAGAGUGAUGAGUAGGGGCGGAGCCAAAAUUUAUGUUCAGUGGGGUCAAAAUUAUGGAAUUUAUAAAAUUUAGGACAAAUUACUAAUUUUGAUGGGGUCAAAAUUGUAUUUAUAAUAAAUCAUAUUAAAAAAAUAGUAUAAUUUUUUUUUAGUGGGGUUAAUUAACUCCACUUAUCCUUAUGUGGCUCCGCAACUAGUGCCGUGGGUAGGGGUAUCCAUCAGCCCGGCCCGGCCCGGCCCAAGCCCGAAUAGUAAAAUCCCGAGCCCGCCCAGCCCCCAAGCCCGUGGGCCUUUGACUAUGAACCGGGCCGGCCGGGCCUAGGGAGGAUCUUGAAGCCCAAACUCGGUCCCUUGCUGGCUGCGGGCUUUUGCGGCUUCGGGACUUUUCCGGGCCUUUUUCGGGCUCGAGUUUUUUCUGGAUUUUUUCGGUUUCGAACUUUUUUCGGGCCCAAAUAAGCCUAAGUGACCUCUUAAAUUUGUUUCAAGUUUUACAUCUAUAUAGUUUAAAGAUUUUAAAGUAUACAUUGCGAUAACAUAUAUAUUUUAAAGUGGAUCAAUCAAAGUGUGAGAAAUUAAAAAAAUUAUAUUUGAUAUAAACUUUAAUUACAACUACUAGUAGUAGAGGAAUGCAUCACUACACAAUUUGUGCAUCCUUCCAAACUAGGUUGACACCACAAACGUGUCAAUCAUUUGUUCCUACCCAGUUUACAUGAAUAUAAAAUUUUAAAAUUACAAUAUUAAAAAAUUUGUAGAAUAUUUAUAUUCUUAAUCACUGGAUAGUGUUCGGCAUCAAUCAAUGUGGGCUUCGAUAAUUCAAGUCUUGGCAUUUGUUCUUCAAGGGUCGGCCAUGCGGGCAUGUUCUUGUUGGCUCUUAUCAGCUAGUUCCCAAUCUUUUGGCAAAUUAAUAGUUCAGUGAUUCAGGAUUUUAAACUUGCUCGAGAUGGAGAAGAAAUUAUGCGAACACUUGUACUGAAUGCGAUUUUGAUGCCUACCGUCGACAGGAAGAUGUGAGAUUGGUUAGGUGUGGGGUUAAAAAUGGAAGAGAGAAUGGGUAUGUAUAGAUUUUUAGGGUUAGGUUGGUAAGGGCUUGAGUGAAAGGAGUUAGUUACUUGGGUCAAAAAUGUAAUUUUUAUAAUUAUGAACUUCAAAUUGUAAUAAAAAAAAACGGCUAUUUUUUUGAAAAAAAGGCUAAUUUUGAAUUUCGGAUUUUGCGGGCCGGACUUCGGGCUUUUGCGGGCUUGGGCUUCGGCCUUUUUUCGGGCCGGGCUUCCGGGCUUUUUCGGGCUCGGGCUUUGGGCUUCAAACCCUAAGCCCGGGCCCAGCCCGUUGGUUUCGGACCCGAACCGGCCCGGGCCAUUUUUUGGGCUUCGGGCGGGCUUCGGACCUCGGGCCAUUUGGAGAGCCCUAGCCGUGGGCGUUAGCCAUCGACUAUCAAGUCUGGUAUCUCAAAUCUUUCUAUAAUCUCAAGAGUCGUAUUCACAUGCGCUACCACGGGCUCGCUUACGUGGCACGCCCACAUCCACCCAUUUGGAGUGGACCCCACUUAAAAAAAAUUGUCCCAUCCACUCUCAAAUGGGUGGAUUUGAGCGUGUUACGUAGGCGAGCUCGUGGUAUUACCACAGGCUCGAGCCCAUGUGAACAAGACUCUAAUCUCAAAUAGGUUAAGUAACACUUGUUGAGCUUGAGUUGUACUUAAUUAGGAUAAGAUUAACACGUAUUAAAAAUUUUGUCUCACAUUAAUUAUGAGAACAAAAAAGUUUGAGUUUCACAAAUUUCAAAUGAGCUGUUAAAGUGACUUUUUAGUAAUUUCAAAUCUCGUUGUAAUCUCAGAAAAAGGUUUUUUUGAAUGGAUUUAUUUAUAUAACACGUCAAUCUAAAUAACAUUGAGCUUUUAGUUGUACAUAAUUAGAAUAUGAUUAACAUGUAUUGAAACUUUAUCUCACAUUAAUUAUUAGAACAAAAAACUUGAGUUCCACGAACUUCGAAUGAGCUGUAAUGCGAGAAUCUAAACAACAAUUGAGCUUGCGUUGUGCAUAAUUAGGAUAUGAUUAACACGUAUUAAAACUUUAUCCCACAUAAAUUAUUAGAACAAAAAACUUGAGUUCACGAACUUUGAAUGAGCUGUCACUAACGGUUAAUGUGACUUUUUUUUAGUAAUUACAGAAGAACCUUAUAAAGUGAAUUUAUGGUAAUGUUUAGGUAAUUAUAAGGAAAAACAAGAGAAGUUCUAAGGAAGGUAUCAAUCACCAACCAUCAAGCCAAUGACCUCUCAAAUCUCUUCCUAAUAACGCUUCAAGUUUUAAUGUGAGACUUGAACACCAAUUGAGCUAGUGUCGUUUAUAAUGAGAACAGAAAUAACACGUAUGCAUAAACCCUCAUUAAUGAGAAUAAAAAAAGCCUAACAAGAAAUGGAGUUCACUAACAAAUUCGAAUGAGCAAUCGCUGUCGACUAGCGAUAUAUACUAUCAUAAUGCAAUUAUAUUCACGCAUCUUACAACAUUGGGUGAACAUUACUUACAUGAUGAUUGGUUGAAAUAAUAAGAGACAUC
rnacentral:lncRNA from 1 species